rnacentral:piRNA from 1 species
UCAUAUCCAUUUUACUGUAUU